UACGAAGGGGGCUAGCGUUGCUCGGAAUCACUGGGCGUAAAGGGUGCGUAGGCGGGUUUUUAAGUCAGAGGUGAAAUCCUGGAGCUCAACUCCAGAACUGCCUUUGAUACUGAAAGUCUUGAGUAUGGGAGAGGUGAGUGGAAUUGCGAGUGUAGAGGUGAAAUUCGUAGAUAUUCGCAAGAACACCAGUGGCGAAGGCGGCUCACUGGCCCAUUACUGACGCUGAGGCACGAAAGCGUGGGGAGCAAACAGG
rnacentral:rRNA from 1 species